AUUGAACGCUGGCGGCAGGCCUAACACAUGCAAGUCGAGCGGUAGAGAGGUGCUUGCAUCUCUUGAGAGCGGCGGACGGGUGAGUAAUGCCUAGGAAUCUGCCUAGUGGUGGGGGAUAACGUUCGGAAACGGACGCUAAUACCGCAUACGUCCUACGGGAGAAAGCGGGGGGAUCUUCGGACCUCGCGCCAUUAGAUGAGCCUAGGUCGGAUUAGCUAGUUGGUGAGGUAAUGGCUCACCAAGGCGACGAUCCGUAACUGGUCUGAGAGGAUGAUCAGUCACACUGGAACUGAGACACGGUCCAGACUCCUACGGGAGCAGCAGUGGGAUAUGGACAAUGGGCAAAGCCUGAUCCAGCCAUGCCGCGUGUGUGAAG
rnacentral:rRNA from 1 species